ensembl:snRNA U2 U2 spliceosomal RNA
AUCGCUUCUCGGCCUUUUGGCUAAGAUUAAUUGUAGUAUCUGUUCUUAUCAGUUUAAUAUCUGACACGUCCUCUAUAUGAGGACUACAUAUUAAAUAGAUUUUUAGAACAGGGAGACAGAAGAGGGGCUUGCUCUCUCCGCUCCAUGCAUCAACCUGGUAUUGCAGGACCUCUGGGAACGGUGCACCUAUU